rnacentral:rRNA from 1 species
GACGAACGCUGGCGGCGUGCUUAACACAUGCAAGUCGAACGGAAAGGCCCCUUUUGGGGUACUCGAGUGGCGAACGGGUGAGUAACACGUGAGUAACCUGCCCUUGACUUCGGGAUAACUUCAGGAAACAGGGGCGAAUACCGGAUAGGAAUCCUUGCUGCAGGGUGGGGGUUGGAAAGCUUCGGCGGUUUUGGAUGGACUCGCGUCGUAUCAGCUUGUUGGUGGGGUAGUGGCUUACCAAGGCUUUGACGGGUAGCCGGCCUGAGAGGGCGACCGGCCACAUUGGGACUGAGAUACGGCCCAGACUCCUACGGGAGGCAGCAGUGGGGAAUAUUGCACAAUGGGCGGCAGCCUGAUGCAGCAACGCCGCGUGCGGGAUGACGGCCUUCGGGUUGUAAACCGCUUUCAGCAGGGGCGAAGCUUGUGGUGACGGUACCUGCAGAAGAAGCACCGGCUAACUACGUG